GCCAUGGCUCGUUUCUAAACAUAGGAUUAAUAGAAGAAUAUAGAAUAUUUCCUACCAAUUCCUUUUCCAAUAAGUUACCUGUUCUUUUCCAAUGGAACAACUGUUAGCAGUGCAAGCAAGUAAUGCUUCUACCAGGCGCGUUAGGUGGAAGUGUUCUGAAAUGCUGAGAACAGCAUACUUUUAUACUGCUAAUAUCACGGGGGUUAAAAUCUGUCCAAGACAGAUGGAUCCUGCUAACGACAGUUAUUUCCUCGAGGAAAUAUCGAAGAAAUUUUCCUUCUGUCUCGUGUAAUUAUUACAUAAACGUUGAGAGUCUGUGGAUGACAGAAUUUUAUUGACAAAGUUUCUUCUCUUUUUUUUUUUCUAAAUUUAUUAUAAAUAAUCUUACGACGGCAUAUCAUUUUAUUAUAAUGUUUCUUCGCAGGAAUCAUAAAAGUCUCAGAAGUUUGAAGGUCGUUACUUCCUAAGAAAAAAGACAUUGGCUCCGGAUCGCUUUAUCCUUUACCUUUUGCCUCUCACGAUGGUUCAUCAUUCUCACAAAGGUCUUUUACGGUAUAGGUAGCGAGUAUGUGAAAAGCAGAGUAUGAUAUAAAAAUGUGUAGCAGCGCUUCAGCAACCCUUAACGCAUGUAG